CCAAGGAGUCUAACAUGUGCGCGAGUCAUUGGGCUCUACGAAACCCACAGGCGUAAUGAAAGUGAAGGCGGCCUCUGGCCACUGAGGUGGGAUCCCUGCCCUCGGGGUGGGGCGCACCACCGGCCCGUCUCGCCGGCCGCGUCCGGGAGGCGGAGCAGGAGCGUACACGUUGGGACCCGAAAGAUGGUGAACUAUGCCUGAGCAGGACGAAGCCAGAGGAAACUCUGGUGGAGGUCCGUAGCGAUUCUGACGUGCAAAUCGAUCGUCAAACUUGGGUAUAGGGGCGAAAGACUAAUCGAACCGUCUA
rnacentral:rRNA from 1 species